rnacentral:rRNA from 1 species
ACGCUCGACACCUACGGGGGCAGCAGUGGGGAAUAUUGCACAAUGGGGGAAACCCUGAUGCAGCGACGCCGCGUGGAGGAAGAAGGUCUUCGGAUUGUAAACUCCUGUUGUUGGGGAAAAAGAGGAUGGUACCCAACAAGGAAGUGACGGCUAACUACGUGCCAUCAGCCGCGGUAAUCUGAGCGGGCUGGCAAGGC